rnacentral:misc_RNA from 1 species
GAGAGCCGGAUGCGGUAGCUCCGCACGUCCGGUUCGAUGAGCGGGGUGUGGAAACGGAGUCACGGUCGAGCCGCU